rnacentral:tRNA from 1 species
GCUCCGGUAGAAGAAAGGAAAAUCUUCCUCUUCUGCCAAAUAUAGCCAGGUUAAGUAUUCCGGCCUUUCGAGCCGGACACCCGGGUUCGAAUCCCGGCCGGAGCACCA